UACGGGGGGGGCAAGCGUUGUUCGGAAUUACUGGGCGUAAAGGGCUCGUAGGUGGUCAACUAAGUCGGACGUGAAAUACCCCGGCUCAACCGGGGGGGUGCGAUUGAUACUGGGCGGCUCGAGUAACAGCGAGGUUGGCGGAAUUGACGGUGUAGCGGUGAAAUGCAUAGAUAUCGUCAAGAACACCGAUAGCGAAGGCAGCCAACUAGGGGUUAACUGACGCUGAGGCACGAAAGUGCGGGGAUCAAACAGG
rnacentral:rRNA from 1 species